AGUAAAGCCUACCAAAAAUGAACAAUCUGAGUUUGGCGUUCAAUUUGCUAAGGCAGCGUCUAGCAUUUACAGCAACACCUGUGCGCCAUUAUGCGGUCAAGCCAGCUGCCGCGGGAGCAGCGGGCAAAAAGAAGAAGCUCGGCAAGCUGGGGCCCAUUAUGGAGAAGAAAGUUUUACCCGUCGAAACGGACGCCAACAAAUUGGUGAGCUACGUCUGCGGCAGCAACUACAUGAAAACCGGCGAGGAUAUCAAGCUCAAGCCGGACGCCGAGUACCCUGACUGGCUGUGGACCCUUAACACCGAGCGCAUUGUGCCGCUGGAAGAGCUGGACCCCAACAGCAAACAGUAUUGGCGCCGCCUGCGCAAAAUGGCGCUGCGACGGAACAAUCAAUUGUCCAAGCUGAAAAAGUUUUAAGUGAGACACAAUACAAAAUCAGCUAGAACUGAUCUUUAAACCUGGCCGAGGAUGGGCCCAAGCUCUUCGAAAUUUAUCUGAAGGCGGUGGGAUCCACAUCUGAUCACUUAAAUCCAGGCUUUCGAAUUUCGUCUAUAUAUGUACUACGGGCUGUGCUCCAAGUAUAUGCAAAAACAUAAAUAUUGGAUAAUAUGCUUAGCUAAAGCAAUUCUAUGGCCAAUUUCUCGUUUAAUCAACAUAAAUAAAAUGUGUGUGUAUUAGUUGUGGUCGUUAAGCUUUUCUGUUCGUCUUGUACUGAGCUCCGUCGAUGCAUUUUAUUAUGUUGCAUUUUUAAAAUACUCCAAAAAUUAUUAUCAAUUUAUGUGGCGUGUGUUUAGGUUAGUUUUUCUUG